rnacentral:tRNA from 1 species
GACUCAUUGGCGCAACGGUAGCGCGUUCGACUCCAGAGGACUUUGAAAUACCAGGUUCGUGUAAUCGAAAGGCUAAGCGUUCAAAUCGCUUAUGGGUCA